rnacentral:rRNA from 1 species
AUGGAUGAGCCGGAGAACCCAAUUCCCCCAGAAGUGCAGUCCCUGUUGUCGGAGUUUGACGACCGUUUCUGCGCCCCGUCCAGCCUACCACCUCAUCGAGAAGAUGAUCACACCAUUCCAUUGAUCCCUGGCGCACAACCAGUUAGUGCACGGCCGUAUCGAUACACACCCCAACAGAAGGAUGAAAUAGAAAAACAGAUCAAGGAGAUGCUCCGCGCAGGUAUCAUCCGCCCCAGUUCGAGCCCCUUUGCUGCCCCAGUGCUGCUUGUGCGAAAAAAGGACGGAACGUGGCGUUUCUGUGUGGACUAUCGCCAACUUAAUGCAAUCACGGUCAAGAACAAACAUCCAAUGCCGGUGGUGGAUGAGAUGUUGGACGAGAUCUCAGGCGCAAAAUGGUUCACCAAGCUGGACCUUCUCUCAGGGUAUCAUCAGAUAAGAGUGGCCGAUGAGGAUGUGUUCAAAACAGCCUUCCGCACCCACCAGGGCCUGUACGAGUUCCUGGUAAUGCCCUUUGGCCUCUCGCAUGCACCCGGCUCUUUCCAGAGCAUGAUACACAAGGUUCUCAAUCCUCUGCUCCGGCAUGGUGUUUUGGCGUUUAUGAAUGAUAUUUUGGUGCAUACAGCUACCUUGGAGGAACACCUACGUCGCCUACGUGAAGUAUUGCAGCUGCUGCGGGAUAAUGAAUUGGUGAUCAAACGCUCUAAGUGUGCCUUCGCCCAGCCUCGGAUCGAAUACCUCAGGCACGUCAUCGGUGCUGAGGGCGUGGCUACUGAUCCGGCAAAGGUUGAGGCAGUGCAGACUUGGCCUAUUCCCAUUUCUGUCCGGGCUGUUCGAGGGUUUUUGGGUCUCACGGGGUACUAUCGGAAGUUCAUUCAGCAUUACGGCGUGAUUAGUCGACCAGUGACAGAGCUGUUAAAAAAAGGCAAAAUUUUCCAGUGGACACAACCAGCAGAAACAGCUUUCCAGUUGCUCAAGAAGGCAAUGAUCGCAGCUCCGGUGUUGGCUGUACCCAAUUUCCAGCAAACAUUUGUCCUGGAGACCGAUGCAUGCAAGGAUGGCAUCGGGGCAGUCCUCAUGCAGCAAGGGCACCCAGUGGCUUACUUGAGCAAAGGGCUCUGUCUAAAGAAUCAAGCACUCAGCACGUACGAGAAGGAAUGCCUCGCCAUCCUGAUGGCCGUGGACAAAUGGAGGCCGUACCUACAGCACCAACAUUUCAUAAUACGCACAGAUCAGCAAGCCCUCUUGCAUCUCGCCGACCAAAGAUUGAGUACGGGGAUCCAGCACAAGGCCUUUGUCAAACUAAUGUGA